rnacentral:rRNA from 1 species
AUUGAACGCUGGCGGCAUGCCUUACACAUGCAAGUCGAACGGCAGCACGGGAGCAAUCCUGGUGGCGAGUGGCGAACGGGUGAGUAAUAUAUCGGAACGUGCCCAGUCGUGGGGGAUAACGUAGCGAAAGCUACGCUAAUACCGCAUACGAUCUAUGGAUGAAAGCGGGGGAUCGCAAGACCUCGCGCGAUUGGAGCGGCCGAUAUCAGAUUAGGUAGUUGGUGGGGUAAAGGCUCACCAAGCCGACGAUCUGUAGCUGGUCUGAGAGGACGACCAGCCACACUGGGACUGAGACACGGCCCAGACUCCUACGGGAGGCAGCAGUGGGGAAUUUUGGACAAUGGGCGCAAGCCUGAUCCAGCAAUGCCGCGUGCAGGAUGAAGGCCUUCGGGUUGUAAACUGCUUUUGUACGGAACGAAACGGCGAGCUCUAAUACAGUUCGCUAAUGACGGUACCGCAAGAAUAAGCACCGGCUAACUACGUGCCAGCCGCCGCCGUAA